rnacentral:rRNA from 1 species
UGCAGUCGACGGAACGACGAAAUAAUCCCUUCGGGGUGCGUCUUCGGGCGUCGAGUGGCGGACGGGUGCGUAACGCGUAGGAAUCUACCUUAUAGUGGGGGACAACUCGAGGAAACUCGAGCUAAUACCGCAUAAUCCUUACGAGGGAAAGCAGGGGAUCUUCGGACCUUGUGCUAUUAGAUGAGCCUGCGUCGGAUUAGCUUGUUGGUAGGGUAAUGGCCUACCAAGGCAACGAUCCGUAGCUGGUCUGAGAGGACGACCAGCCACACUGGGACUGAGACACGGCCCAGACUCCUACGGGAGGCAGCAGUGGGGAAUAUUGGACAAUGGGCGCAAGCCUGAUCCAGCAAUGCCGCGUGUGUGAAGAAGGCCUUAGGGUUGUAAAGCACUUUCAGUAGGGAAGAAAUGCGUGUAGCUAAUAACUGCGCGUCUUGACGGUACCUACAGAAGAAGCACCGGCUAACUCCGUGCCAGCAGCCGCGGUAAUACG